ensembl:lncRNA
AUGGAUCAGCCCACUUCCUCCACAGCCCAGCAGUUGUAUUUUAACCUCUUUGGCCCUGUGCAUGCUUUUUUCUGCAAACCAUGUGAUUGUUUGAGCUUGUCUAAGCUUUGCAGCAUUGACAGGGCUCCUUUAUCAGUUUGCUUGCCCACUCGUGUGGGAAUAGUCUGGAAUGCCGCAGCUGGAUCCAGAGAUAACACUCUGGUUUGGGAGCUGCACACUGCACAGUUUCCUGUGACAGCAGAGGAGACGCUUGCAGAGAGGGAGUGGCUGUGCAGGCUACGUUUUCCCCACAUGACAGGUCUUGAUAUGUGUAGAAUACCGAAGCAACUCUAUUUUCAGUUUGGGGACAGAGAUGACUCAAUCCUCUACAUCAGCAUGAUGCUCAAGGCAGCAGCUGAGAUUGGGAUCAAUGCGAACCACAUUAGGCUUCCCGAGACAGCCACAGAGGACAAAGUCCUGUGAAAUAUAGUUGCGGUAAAUGAGAAUCCUGCGGUCCAUGGCCUCAUCGUACAACUAGCGCUUGACUCUAUCAACCCAUGCUGUGACCUCAGAGAAAGAUGUGGAUGGGUAGGUGUUAUUUGCUUGAAAUGUAUGUUUGAGAAGCAAGACGGCGAAAAUGGGCCUGAUAGUGGAUUUAUUUAAACUAACUGGAAUAGACAGGUAGUGCAGACUUUUUCCUUUACAAGGUCAAGUUGAUGCAUUUCACACACUUUUUUCCCAUCGUUUGAUCCAUUGGGCCUCUGCUAGGUCUAGUUUCAAGGUGUAAUCACUCUACUGUAUUUGGCUUCCUUAUCUGUUCUUUCCACUAAAAAGUCAGAAGGUCAAAGGCCUUUUUGUUGAUGUGUGUGAAUAUUGGCCUUUUUACUGAUUUUAGAUGAGUUAUCCAUGUAAAAUUAGUUUUGAGGGGCAACUGAGUCUAAAAUCUGCCCAAAUAAGCAAUUUCCACCUGCAGGCUCUUAUUUUAAUGAC